rnacentral:rRNA from 1 species
AUGGGCCUGGCUCGAGGCCCGGCAUGCUUUUACGCGUUCGGGCCAGGCUUCGGCCCAAAAACCAGGCCCGAUGGCCGAGCCGGGCCCGGGCCUAGGCUUUUUGCCUCGGGCUUGUUAGGCCCGACCCUAGGUUUGGCCAGGUUAGACCUGGCCAUGGGCAGCCCGGCCCGACGCUGCUCCCGGACGGGCUCGGGCCUAGAUAUUCAGCCCGUUGGUCGGGCCGGGCCGGGCCCAGGCCCGUCAAAAUUAUGUUUUUCUGAAGGGGCCCAGCCUGAGGCUCGUCGGGCUUUUGCGUGUUCGGGCCAGGCUCGGGCCCAAAAAAUAGGCCCGACGGCCGGGCCGGGCCAGGCUCGGGCCUGGGUUUUUUGCACCGGGCUUUGGCCGGCCCGGCCCGGCCCGAGGUUUGGCCAGGAAAAACAAAACCGGCAAAUUGAACUGAGCUCGCCGGGUUGGAGAGGAGCAGCAGUAAUGGCCGGAGCCGGAGAAGACGAAGCAGCUCCUCCUCCCUCUUCUCCAGAUCGACAGGUGAGCAGGGGUCCCCAACCCUGUCUCCUAGGUUUUCCCGGUGGAUGGAUCGAUCUGCGGAGUGCCCUCCCUUUCUCUAUUAACCUAGGGUUCCUCCCUCCUUGCCUGCAGCAGCCCAUGGAAGAGGCGGCGGCGGCCAAGCGGAGCAGGUCGGAGAACCACCACGGCGUCGCCGACGGGCCGUCCUUCCGCAUGGAGGACCUUCCAGCGUUAAAAUGCAGCCCCUCUAAUAAUUCAGGCCCUCUUGUGUCGCAGGAGGUUCAGCCGGUUAUAAUCUCACUGCUGCCACUGAAAGAGGCCGUCAGGACAAGCAUGGUUUCAACAAGUUGGAGAAUGCUCUGGACAUUCCACUCCGAUCUAUGUUUUCAUGGCCCCGAUGAUUCGAAAUUUUACACCGCUAAUCAGCAUAGUGCCCAAAUAAAAAGAGCGAAGUUCAUUGAGACUGUAAAUUUGGUUAUUCAGCAGCAUAGUGGGUUAGGAAUCAAUAAGUUCAGCAUCACAUGCGGCAUGCACAAAGAGUACGCUGAUCAUCUUGACAGGUGGAUUCAGUUUGCCGCUUCAUCAAUGGCAACUAUAAUAGAUUUUAAUCUCAAGAAAGUUUAUCUCCCAUUAAAAUUUCACCACUUCCCUCUCGAGGCCUUAGAGGGUCAAGGCUUGCUUGCAAAAUGUUCAAGACUUGAGGACUUAGAGAUCAUGUGCUGCAAUGGUGUGGAUGACUUAAUCAUACCACACAAACUCGAUAAACUUCAACAUUUGCUGAUUGCCGGAAUGGACAUCCAGAUGGUUGAGUUUCAUGCUACUGAUCUUGCUCAUUUUGAGUACAUAGGGCGAGUGAUCCCUAUAGUGCUUCAUGGUUGCUCAAAACUAGAGAAGGCAACAAUGAAGUUUAAUGGCACUAAAGCACUGGCACAUGCAUUCACUGCAGUUCCAGGCAUUUUGCCAGUGAAGACAUUACAUCUGCAAUCUUUCAUAUCAGAAUAUGCACAAUUGCAGAAGCUGCCAACAAGACAACAAGGAAUGUUUUUGCGUUUGAGGCAUAUGACUUGUAAACUAAUUGUCAACUCUAACGACCCAAAUGCUGAUAAUGAAGUUCUUCAACUGGCCAAUUGCUUGGAUCUUGCACCCAGACUGGAGUCAUUGCACUUGCAUAUGAUGUGUAAGAUGUCCAGUGGUUGGUCCAGCGGUGAGGUGGCGGAUAUGCGCCGCCAUGAUCAUCUCAAGACGGUCUUCAUGAGCGGGUUUCGUUGUUACAAGGCUCAGAUGGAGCUGGCAUGCUAUAUCUUGGGAAAUGCUUCUGUUCUUGAGCAGCUGAUAAUAGAACCAAGGAUCAGAGACACAGUAUGGUGGUCGGGCGAUUUUUCUGCGUGGAAUACCGGCCUCGAAGAAACUUUACCGUGGAUCUGUGAGUGGGCACAGCUCACCUCGAAGCGCUUUGGUAAGGUGAUCAACGUCUUAGGUGCCCCCCUUCACAAGGGUUGUUUCUCCUGGUGCGCCAUCGUUGGAGCUACUGAAAGAAGUAAAACUUGCAUCUCUCGAUGGAGGCUUCUUUUGCCGGGCAAGACGCAGGAUCUCUUCAGCACCAUCAUUAGCGAGUGCCGCCUGCAGAUUAUUAGGAUUGAUGCAACAAAGCUUGUUCAGUACAGAGGAGGACAUAGAACAGCUCCGGAUUCUAGCCGGCCAAAUCGACGCCCACUCUACCCAUCCGCCGGCCGGCCGUCCUGCGCCGCCGCCGCCACCUGCGCCGCGGCCAGCACCUGCCCCGCCACCAGCUGCACGGCCUGCUCCGCCGCUACCGUCCUACACCGACGGUCCACCGCUACCUGCGACGCCCGCCACCUUCCUGCGACGCAACGGGUGGGGUGCCAGCCACCUGCUCAACCCGCGGCGCGGCCUCCUUCCGUGCGCCCGGCCGGAGCGCUCAAAGGUGGGGGGCUGCUGGAGCUGUUUGAGCUAGGAGGAAGAACCCCAGGGCGAAAUGGCGAGCAGCGGCGACCCCGGAGUAUUUGGCGAGGCAGGCGUCGGGCCGGAGAUCUGCCGCGUCCACGACUGGGUUCCCGAGGGUUAGUAAUGAUGAGGAGCUGGCCGUUUGCUAGGCAUAAAGAGAAAGAUGAUUUUCAUGUGAGGCUGCAAAUUGAUGUGCUUGAGCAGCCUAGGAUGACGGGUGCAACAUCUCGGGGAGAACCAAGUCAUCGUAAUGGCAUCUCUAGCCAGAACAGUUUGUUGGUGCACGACGACGUGGUGGCUCGACAAGUGUGGGCAACGGCAGUAGGGUCCCCCUUGAAGUGGAGCCUGAUGACUACAAUUCUGGGGUUGAUGAAGAGAAGCUAUAUUCUGAUGUUAUUCAGAAUUUACGACGGGCACCUCGGGCUGAAAACCAAGAUGAGGCUCACAAUGCAGUCCGUGUGGACGAUGACGCGGUGGCCGGUUGCCUCAACAGAUGAUGAAAAUGAUGGUCAACACCCGGUUGCAUCAGAUGAGGAUUUUGACGAGGUUCCAAAUGAUGAAGGUCAACAGCCGCAUGAUUUUGACGAUGAUCCAAAAUAUCCUCCAAAUAAUGAUUCAAGUGAGGCUUCAAAUGAUGAUCCAAGUGAGGCUCCAAAUGGUGAUACAAGUGAGGCUCCAAAUGGUGAUCAUGGUGAUCCAAGUGAGGCUCCAAAUGGUGACCAACCUUCUGUUGUUGUGAGUUCUGCUAGGUUUGAAGAAGAUGCGCAAGGUACCAAGAGGAGAAGAGAAGAAGCAAUGAGCACAAGGUGCACGAGGAGCAAAAAAUAUCGGGCACGCUGGAUGGACCGUUGGGCCGUCUCGUUGUCUGGGACUGAGACCGCAGUUAAUAGGCCGUCUCAGCCUUUCCAGGCCUAUAUGCAUGAGAAGGGCGGCCACGUGGUUUGCAUGCGCGAGCGAGCCGGACGUGCAUGCAUGCAAGCGAGGCGAGCUAGGCUAGCGAGGCAGUGGCCAUGCACGUACUGA